CUGGGAAGAAGGAUAAUCGGUCCGCCUUUGGCGGACAGGAAAGUCCAGACAGCAAAAAGCAGGGUGAUCUGCGUAAGCAGGUAGCCGUAAGGCCUAGUUAGAGUAACAGAAACGAUCUGGGUGACGCCAGCUGAAACGACCAAGUGACUGGGUAUCCCGCCUUAAGGCGGGAGGACAAUCCUCCCCGCUGCAAUCCUAGAAUCAACAGAGCCGCUUGCUCAAUUGUUGUAAUCAGGAGCAUUAGAUAAAUGAUUAUCUUGAAACAGAAUCUGGCUUACUAUCUUCCUAGGCAA
rnacentral:RNase_P_RNA from 7 species